rnacentral:rRNA from 1 species
CCUACGGGUGGCAGCAGUGAGGAAUAUUGGUCAAUGGCCGGAAGGCUGAACCAGCCAAGCCGCGUGAAGGACGAAGGUGCCAAGCAUUGUAAACUUCUUUUGUCAAGGGACAAAAUCAGGCUCGAGAGCCUGACCGAGGGUACCUGAAGAAAAAGCAUCGGCUAACUCCGUGCCAGCAGCCGCGGUAAUACGGAGGAUGCGAGCGUUAUCCGGAUUUAUUGGGUUUAAAGGGGGCGUAGGCGGACUGUUAAGUCAGCGGGAAACGCCCGGGGCUCAACCCCGGCGAGCCGUUGAAACUGGAUGCCUUGAGAGCACGCAGGGAAUGCGGAAGGCAUGGUGUAGCGGUGAAAUGCUUAGAUAUUGCGAAGAACUCCGAUUGCGAAGGCAAGAGACCGGCGGCGAUCUGACGCUGAGGCACGAAAGCGUGGGUAUCGAACAGGAUUAGAUACCCCAGUAGUC